CCUACGGGGGGCUGCAGUGGGGAAUAUUGGACAAUGGGGGCAACCCUGAUCCAGCCAUGCCGCGUGUGUGAAGAAGGCCCUCGGGUUGUAAAGCACUUUCAGUGAGGAAGAACGCCUGGUGGUUAAUACCCAUCAGGAAAGACAUCACUCACAGAAGAAGCACCGUCUAACUCCGUGCCAGCAGCCGCGGUAAUACGGAGGGUGCGAGCGUUAAUCGGAAUUACUGGGCGUAAAGCGCGCGUAGGUGGCUUGAUAAGCCGGUUGUGAAAGCCCCGGGCUCAACCUGGGAACGGCAUCCGGAACUGUCAAGCUAGAGUGCAGGAGAGGAAGGUAGAAUUCCCGGUGUAGCGGUGAAAUGCGUAGAGAUCGGGAGGAAUACCAGUGGCGAAGGCGGCCUUCUGGACUGACACUGACACUGAGGUGCGAAAGCGUGGGUAGCAAACAGGAUUAGAUACCCCGGUAGUC
rnacentral:rRNA from 1 species